rnacentral:rRNA from 1 species
UAGGAUGGUUUUCGCCGUAUCAGCUUUAAGGGGUUGUAAAGAACCCCCUAGCUUUCGACGCGUACGGGUGUUGGAAGACAUAGCCCGGAGAUGGAUUCUGAGACACGAAUCCAGACCCUACGGGGUGCAGCAGGCUCGAAAACUUUCACACUGCAGGAAACUGUGAUGAGGGAACUCCUAGUGCAUGCACUAUGUGUAUGUAGAUCCUACUCUUAACAAGUAGAGGGAAAGGGCUGGGAAAGACCGGUGCCAGCCGCCGCGGUAAUACCGGCAGCUCAAGUGGUCGUCGCUUUUAUUGGGCCUAAAACGUCCGUAGCCUGUUUGGUAAAUCUGUGGGUAAAUCAACCUGCUCAACGGAUUGAAUUCUGCAGAGACUGCCAGACUAGGGACCGGGAGAGGUGUGGGGUACUCGAGGGGUAGGGGUAAAAUCCUGUCAUCCUUCGAGGACCACCAGUUGCGAAGGCGCCACACUGGAACGGAUCCGACGGUCAGGGACGAAGCCUAGGGGCACGAACCGGAUUAGAUACCCGGGUAGUCCUAGGAGUAAACGCUGUGAACUUGGUGUCGGGGAUCCUACUUGGGUUCCCGGUGCCGGAGUGAAGAUGUUAAGUUCACUGCCUGGGGAGUACGGUCGCAAGGCUGAACUCAAAUGAAUUGACGG